rnacentral:rRNA from 1 species
AUUGAACGCUGGCGGCAUGCCUUACACAUGCAAGUCGAACGGCAGCACGGACUUCGGUCUGGUGGCGAGUGGCGAACGGGUGAGUAAUGUAUCGGAACGUGCCCAGUCGUGGGGGAUAACGUAGUGAAAAUUACGCUAAUACCGCAUACGAUCUAUGGAUGAAAGCGGGGGAUCGCAAGACCUCACGCGAUUGGAGCGGCCGAUAUCAGAUUAGGUAGUUGGUGGGGUAAAGGCCCACCAAGCCAACGAUCUGUAGCUGGUCUGAGAGGACGACCAGCCAAACUGGAACUGAGACACGGUCCAGACUCCUACGGGAGGCAGCAGUGGGGAAUUUUGGACAAUGGGCGAAAGCCUGAUCCAGCCAUUCCGCGUGCAGGAUGAAGGCCCUCGGGUUGUAAACUGCUUUUGUACAGAACGAAAAGGUUUCUACUAAUACUAGGAGCUCAUGACGGUACUGUAAGAAUAAGCACCGGCUAACUACGUGCCAGCCGCCGCAGUAAAAC